rnacentral:sRNA from 1 species
GCGGAAGGAGGGAGGGGGCCGCGCUCGGCGCCCCGGCCGGGCCACUGGGCCACAGGCCACGCGGCCACGCAGUCCGAGCGGGAGCCGAGCCGGGCGGGGCGAGGGCAGCUCCGGGAAGGAACGUCCCAGGGAUGGAAGUGCUUGGAUGCGGUGCUGCUGGCUGCGGAUGUGCGCAAGGAGAUGGGAUGGAGAGCCUGAGUUGGCAUUCGUAUAAAUGACCUGGUGGCCAUGGUGGAGGUGCAGCUGGAGACGCAGUACCAGUACCCGCGGCCACUGCUGAUUGCCUUCAGCGCCUGCACCACGGUGCUGGUGGCCGUGCACCUGUUCGCCCUCCUCAUCAGCACCUGCAUCCUGCCCAACGUGGAGGCCGUGAGCAACAUCCACAACCUGAACUCCAUCAGCGAGUCCCCGCACGAGCGCAUGCACCCCUACAUCGAGCUGGCCUGGGGCUUCUCCACCGUGCUCGGCAUCCUACUCUUCCUGGCCGAGGUGGUGCUGCUCUGCUGGAUCAAGUUCCUCCCCGUGGAUGCCCGGCGCCAGCCUGGCCCCCCACCUGGCCCUGGGAGUCACACGGGCUGGCAGGCCGCCCUGGUGUCCACCAUCAUCAUGGUGCCCGUGGGCCUCAUCUUCGUGGUCUUCACCAUCCACUUCUACCGCUCCCUGGUGCGCCACAAAACGGAGCGCCACAACCGCGAGAUCGAGGAGCUCCACAAGCUCAAGGUCCAGCUGGACGGGCAUGAGCGCAGCCUGCAGGUCUU